UCGUCCGUCAAGAAAUACAAGCCGGUCUAUUUUUUGACAGAAGAACAUUGAGAAGAAGAGUAAGUGUAAGCUCAGUUAUGUAUACAGAGAAGAAAAAGCGCGCCAUAUCAGUAGAAUCCCCUUUUCCCUUUCUGUGUCUAUAAGGUGACUCUCAAUAAUCUACCCAUAAGCCUUCCGAGCAUGGGCAAGCAGAAGCAACAGGUUAUUUCCCGCUUCUUUGCUCCCAAACCUAAAACCAGCGAUUCAUCAACUCCAACGGUAAAAGGCCCGUCAUCAUCUUCUUCGUCUCCGACUCCGACCCCCAAAAUUUCCGCCGUCGUAUCCUUCUCCCCCGCCAAACGUAAACUCCUCUCUGCGCACCUCACCUCCACUCCCAAAAGGCCCAAACUUUCUCCUCACACUCAAAAUCCUAUUCCUACUUCUCCUAAUCGCCAUCGGAAGUUCCUGGACAAGUUUCUGGAACCCUCCCCUGAAAUUAUACAACCUUCCUAUACUCAAUCAUCAGUUUCUAAAAAGUAUACCCCAUUGGAACAGCAAGUUCUGGACUUGAAAAACAAGUACCCGGAUGUCCUUUUGAUGAUUGAAGUUGGUUAUAAAUAUCGGUUCUUCGGGGAAGAUGCGGAGAUUGCGGCGAGAGUGCUGGGGAUCUAUGCCCACAUGGAUCAUAAUUUUAUGACCGCCAGCGUACCAACUUUUCGAUUAAAUGUCCAUGUAAGAAGGUUGGUUAGUGCAGGGCAUAAGGUUGGGGUUGUUAAGCAGACUGAAACCGCCGCGAUUAAGGCUCAUGGGGAUAACAAGGCUGGCCCAUUUUGCAGAGGGUUAUCGGCAUUGUAUACUAAGGCGACAUUGGAGGCAGCCGAGGAUGUGGGUGGGAAGGAGGAGGGGUGUGGUGGAGCGAGCAAUUAUUUUUGUUGUGUCGUGGAUAAGAGCGUUUUGGUGGAGAAUGUUGAUCGUGGGUUUGAUACUAGGAUUGGGUUUGUUGCUGUUGAGAUCUCAACUGGAGAUGUUAUUUAUGGUGAGUUUAAUGAUGGUUUUUUGAGGAGUGGACUUGAGGCUGUGGUUUUGAGCUUGGCUCCGGCUGAGUUGCUCCUUGGGGAACCUCUUUCUAAACAAACAGAGAAGUUGCUGCUGGCAUACGCUGGACCUUCCUCAAACGUCCGUGUGGAGCAUGCCUCACGAAAUUGCUUCAAUAAUGGUGGUGCACUUGCUGAAGUGAUGUCUUUGUAUGAGAAUACAAGUGAAAAUAAGGCAGCAGAUGAUGGAAAACAGAUGAUAGAGGGGACAGAGCAGGGCAGUUAUUGCCUGGCUAUUGAGGGGAUUAUGAAUAUGCCAGAUUUGGCCUUGCAAGCAUUGGCCUUAACCAUCCAUCACCUAAAGCAAUUUGGAUUUGAAGGAAUUUUAUGCCUAGGAGCUUCAUUUCGGCCUUUCUCAAGCAACAUGGAGAUGAAUCUUUCAGCCAACACGCUUCAACAAUUAGAGGUUUUGAGGAAUAAUUCAAAUGGGUCUGAGUCUGGCUCAUUGCUGCAUAUCAUGAAUCAUACUCUUACUGUUUCUGGUUCCAGGUUACUAAGACACUGGGUGAGUCACCCUUUAUGUGAUAGAAACAUGAUAUCUGCUCGUCUUGAUGCUGUUUCUGAGAUUGCAGAAUCCAUGGGAUCUCAUAAAGCUUCACAAAAUAUUGGUGAGCUUGAUGAAGUAAAUUCUGAUUUAACAACUGUACAAGCAGACUUCUAUUAUUUGCUUUCCUCUGUUUUGAUAAAUUUGGGAAGAGCACCUGAUAUUCAACGUGGAAUAACAAGAAUUUUCCAUCGAACUGCCACUGCAUCUGAGUUCAUUGCAGUUAUUCAAGCCAUAUUAAAUGCUAGUAAACAACUUCAGUCUCUUCCCAUUGAAGAAGAGCACAGAAAUGAGAGAAUUCAAGCAAAGAUUGUGCGCUCAGUUUUAUUGAAGAAAUUGAUUUUGACUGUGUCAUCAUCUAGUGUAGUUGGCAAUGCUGCAAAACUUUUAUCCGUCCUAAACAAAGAGGCAGCUGAAUGUGGGGAUAUAGCAAACUUAAUUGUCAUUUCUAAUGGUCAAUUUCCAGAGGUCGCAAGCUCAAGGAAAGCGGUUCAAUCUGCAAAGGAGAAAUUGGAUUCUUUAAUCAGUUUGUAUCGCAUGCAGCUUAAAAAGCACAAUUUGGAAUUUAUGAGUGUAUCUGGAACCACACAUUUGAUUGAGUUGCCCAUAGAUGUCAAAGUACCAUUGAACUGGGUGAAGGUAAACAGUACUAAGAAGACAAUCCGCUAUCACCCACCUGAAGUAUUGGCUGCCUUAGACCAGUUAUCGCUGGCUAAUGAGGAGCUCAUGGUUGUUUGCCGAGUUGCGUGGGAUAGGUUUUUAAGGGACUUUGGUAAAUAUUAUGCCGAGUUCCAAGCUGCUGUUCAAGCACUUGCUGCAUUGGAUUGUUUGCAUUCACUUGCCAGUCUUUCCAAAAAUAAGAAUUAUGUUCGUCCAGUUUUCGUGGAUGACAAUGAACCUGCUCAGAUACAUAUAUCCUCUGGUCGUCACCCGGUUUUGGAGACCAUGUUAGAAGACAAUUUUGUCCCAAAUGAUACACAUUUACAUGCAGAUGGAGAGUUUUGUCAGAUUGUCACUGGACCCAACAUGGGGGGAAAGAGUUGCUACAUCCGCCAAGUUGCUCUCAUUGCUUUGAUGGCUCAGGUUGGUUCCUUUGUACCAGCAUCAUCAGCAAAACUGCAUGUACUAGAUGGUAUAUACACUAGAAUGGGAGCUUCUGACAGUAUCCAACAAGGGAGAAGUACCUUUUUAGAAGAGUUGAGUGAGGCUUCUAAUAUACUCCACAAAUGCACGGCAAAUUCACUCGUUAUCAUUGAUGAGCUAGGUAGAGGCACAAGUACACAUGAUGGUGAAGCUAUUGCUUAUGCUACAUUACACCAUCUGUUGGAACAGAAAAAAUGCUUGGUCCUUUUUGUAACGCACUAUACUAAAAUUGCUGAGAUAAAAAAUGAAUUCCCCAGUUCUGUGGGGGCUUAUCAUGUUUCAUAUCUUACAUCGGAGAAAAAUUUGGGUGUCACGGGCUCAAAAUUUGACAAUGAAGAUGUCACUUACCUUUAUAAACUGGUGCCUGGAGUGUCAGGGAGGAGUUUCGGGUUUAAGGUCGCUCAGCUGGCACAGUUACCUUCAUCAUGUAUUAGACGGGCAUCUGUCAUGGCUGCAAGGCUGGAAAUGGUGGUAAGCCACAGAAUGGAAGACAAAUUAGUUAGAAGGCAGUUGCUAGAAACACCGACAAGUGAUCAACAACAAGAAACAUGGGAGAAAACUUCAGAAUCUCCUGAUUGCUUUCAUUCAGGAAAGAUAGAGAAAUACGAAGAAUUAGAUAAUGAUUAUCAGAAGCUCUUUCUGAACUUGAAAUUUGCAAUGCUUGAUGGAGACUCUGCUAAAAGCUUCCAGUACUUGGAGAAUGCUAGAAACAUAGCAAAGGCAUUAAUAAUUAGGUAAAGUUGAGUUUCUUUCACUCCUUUCAAGUAAACAUUUCUGCCGAAAGCUAUCAGGUGCAAGGGCAUGGUUCUUCCAAAUAUAAAAAUGCAAGUCCUCAAGAUGAGACAGCAUGACGAUGGGUAAAGAGUCUGAAACGCCGAGUCCUCAGUUAUGGAGCGAUGGAUAGAGCGUUGAGCUUUCAGCGUUCCAAAGGCUGACUCGCUCUUUAUUUAUGUAGGAUUCUUGUAUCAGAAUUUUGUCUAUAAAGAAUUAGAAAAUCUAUCACAUUGAUAAUUUAUGGACCUCCAAUCCAUUGAACUUUAAUCUGUAUAUUUUGUCAUGCAAUUAGAGAGCCUUUAAUAUUUAUUAGUGUUAA